rnacentral:rRNA from 1 species
UKSGGCRGCUACACAUGCAGUCGAGCGGUAGAGAGAAGCUUGCUUCUCUUGAGAGCGGCGGACGGGUGAGUAAUGCCUAGGAAUCUGCCUGGUAGUGGGGGAUAACGUCCGGAAACGGACGCUAAUACCGCAUACGUCCUACGGGAGAAAGCAGGGGACCUUCGGGCCUUGCGCUAUCAGAUGAGCCUAGGUCGGAUUAGCUAGUUGGUGAGGUAAUGGCUCACCAAGGCGACGAUCCGUAACUGGUCUGAGAGGAUGAUCAGUCACACUGGAACUGAGACACGGUCCAGACUMMUACGGGAGGCAGCAGUGGGGAAUAUUGGACAAUGGGCGAAAGCCUGAUCCAGCCAUGCCGCGUGUGUGAAGAAGGUCUUCGGAUUGUAAAGCACUUUAAGUUGGGAGGAAGGGUACUUACCUAAUACGUGAGUAUUUUGACGUUACCGACAGAAUAAGCACCGGCUAACUCUGUGCCAGCAGCCGCGGUAAUACAGAGGGUGCAAGCGUUAAUCGGAAUUACUGGGCGUAAAGCGCGCGUAGGUGGUUCGUUAAGUUGGAUGUGAAAUCCCCGGGCUCAACCUGGGAACUGCAUCCAAAACUGGCGAGCUAGAGUAUGGUAGAGGGUGGUGGAAUUUCCUGUGUAGCG